rnacentral:tRNA from 1 species
AACCUUAUAGUUUAUAAAAAAUAAAUUAUUUGCAUUAAUUAGAAAAAUUUUGUUUUAAGGUUA